GAAGGUGUGCUGUGAGGCAUGCUGGAGGUAUCAGAAGUGCGAAUGCUGACAUAAGUAACGAUAAAGCGGGUGAAAAGCCCGCUCGCCGGAAGACCAAGGGUUCCUGUCCAACGUUAAUCGGGGCAGGGUGAGUCGACCCCUAAGGCGAGGCCGAAAGGCGUAGUCGAUGGGAAACAGGUUAAUAUUCCUGUACUUGGUGUUACUGCGAAGGGGGGACGGAGAAGGCUAUGUUGGCCGGGCGACGGUUGUCCCGGUUUAAGCGUGUAGGCUGGUUUUCCAGGCAAAUCCGGAAAAUCAAGGCUGAGGCGUGAUGACGAGGUACUACGGUGCUGAAGCAACAAAUGCCCUGCUUCCAGGAAAAGCCUCUAAGCAUCAGGUAACAUCAAAUCGUACCCCAAACCGACACAGGUGGUCAGGUAGAGAAUACCAAGGCGCUUGAGAGAACUCGGGUGAAGGAACUAGGCAAAAUGGUGCCGUAACUUCGGGAGAAGGCACGCUGAUAUGUAGGUGAAGUCCCUCGCGGAUGGAGCUGAAAUCAGUCGAAGAUACCAGCUGGCUGCAACUGUUUAUUAAAAACACAGCACUGUGCAAACACGAAAGUGGACGUAUACGGUGUGACGCCUGCCCGGUGCCGGAAGGUUAAUUGAUGGGGUCAGCGCAAGCGAAGCUCUUGAUCGAAGCCCCGGUAAACGGCGGCCGUAACUAUAACGGUCCUAAGGUAGCGAAAUUCCUUGUCGGGUAAGUUCCGACCUGCACGAAUGGCGUAAUGAUGGCCAGGCUGUCUCCACCCGAGACUCAGUGAAAUUGAACUCGCUGUGAAGAUGCAGUGUACCCGCGGCAAGACGGAAAGACCCCGUGAACCUUUACUAUAGCUUGACACUGAACAUUGAGCCUUGAUGUGUAGGAUAGGUGGGAGGCUUUGAAGUGUGGACGCCAGUCUGCAUGGAGCCGACCUUGAAAUACCACCCUUUAAUGUUUGAUGUUCUAACGUUGACCCGUGAUCCGGGUUGCGGACAGUGUCUGGUGGGUAGUUUGACUGGGGCGGUCUCCUCCUAAAGAGUAACGGAGGAGCACGAAGGUUGGCUAAUCCUGGUCGGACAUCAGGAGGUUAGUGCAAUGGCAUAAGCCAGCUUGACUGCGAGCGUGACGGCGCGAGCAGGUGCGAAAGCAGGUCAUAGUGAUCCGGUGGUUCUGAAUGGAAGGGCCAUCGCUCAACGGAUAAAAGGUACUCCGGGGAUAACAGGCUGAUACCGCCCAAGAGUUCAUAUCGACGGCGGUGUUUGGCACCUCGAUGUCGGCUCAUCACAUCCUGGGGCUGAAGUAGGUCCCAAGGGUAUGGCUGUUCGCCAUUUAAAGUGGUACGCGAGCUGGGUUUAGAACGUCGUGAGACAGUUCGGUCCCUA
rnacentral:rRNA from 1 species